GGUAAUUGGUUUUAUAAUUGAAUUUUCUGAUCACGUCUUGAAGGAAUGGGUCCUGCCAAAGGCCAAGGAAUGGCCUGUCUCCAAGAAGGACAGCCAAGGUCCCUGACGGAGGCUCUGGAAGAGGUGAAGCCUGAUUCUCCUCUCCCUGCCCAGAUUGAAAACUUCUAGGACUUGGAGCCCACGGAUAUGCUCUGGGCAUGCUUCAGAGGGUGACACUGGAGCAGUCUUCUCACCCACUCACCCCUGUGGCUGGCAAGGCCCAGGAGCCAGUGCAGGGGAUGGAACAGUUGCUCUGUCAGCACCUUGGCCUCAUCUGCCAGCAGGCUGAGUGACCCCGGCAUGGCGUCUGAGUCCAUGGCUAGCUAAGGCUGGUCCUUUCCCGGUUUUCUUGGAUUCACUGCCCAUCUAUGUACACAGUUCAGAGCCUGGCCUCAGACCAUGGCUCCCCACGAUCUUCCUAGUGGGGAAGCCCAGAUGGAGAACAUGGGCCCGCAUCCUCAUUAGACCAGUUAAAAGCACACAUUCUGGUUCAGACUGCCUGAGUUUGCACCUGCUCCACAGCAGUGGGACCUUGGGCUUCACUGUUAGUUCCUCCCUCUGAAUGUCAGUUUUUCUCAUCUGUAGAAUGAGGACAGUAAUGGAAUCUAUAUAUCAGUGGGGGUCCCACCAAGAAACGGGAUGCCCUCACAGGGGCAAGACAAAGACCAAAUGAGUUCACAUGGAGACAGUGGUCAGAACAGUACGGGCACAGGGCAAGCAUUAUCAGCUUACAGAGGUGCCCAGGGCUGCCCUUCUCCAUGCUUCUGGGCACAAGCAGAGUGCACGUGAGGGUGGAGUCUUAGAAGGAUAACCUUGGACCCACUCUAAUUCAGGGAUGGCAAGGACGAGACCACCAGCCCAACGUAUGGUGUUUCACUCUUGGUCACAGAGGUCCUGUGUCCCACCAGCAGAAGCAACGGCAGCACAGGGCAAUGGCCCUGCCCUCCUAGUGUUUGGGGAGACCAGAUACGUAGCAGAGGUGUGGGAUGGGGACUAUGGAGCAGGGAAGAAAGAUCUGAAGCAGUCCCUGGAAAGUGAGAGUGUGGCUCUUGCUUCCCAUGAGGACAGGAGAGAUGUGUGCAAGUGGAAGAAAACCCCUGGACUGGAAAGCAGCUCUGCUGUGACCUGUGAUGUGAUCUUACACCAGCCUCUCCUCCCACUGCGCCUCUGUCUCCCCUUCUGUAAAAGCAAGGACCUGAGCAAGAACGCAGGUCCCAGGGAGUGGUUACAUAACUUAAUCAGAUGACUCAAAACAGGAUUGGGAAACUCUGGACGAGACGCACAUCAACAAGCGUCCUUUCUGCAGGGUGCAGAAUGUCUUUGACACUGGACUGUAUGUUGUGCUUUCCCAAGAGGAGAUGUAGUCCACGUUCCCAAACUUACUCGACAAGAAAAGCAUGUUUUGCUCGAUCACCUCACAGGAAUACUGCCUGAGGAGUCCCAGGCUGGAAGGGUGUCAAUGAUUCUUCUAGCACCAAAUCGUGCGUUCACAGCAAGUGCUCACUAAGAAAGCUGUGAUUCCACUCUCGUAGGGCCAUCACAGACCACAAGGGAGAGAGAGGCCCAGUGAAGGGAAGCAUGGGUCCCUGAGGAGCAGCCGGAGGCACUGGGCAAGGCAGAGACCCGUGCUGUGGAGGGAGGCUUGCCCCACGGAGGGGUGUCUGACACUCUGACGCUCUGGGUCAGGGAAGAACUGCUGGUCUUUGGAUAAAAGGUUAAGUCUGAAGCAAACUGACAGGAAGCAACAAGCACUAGCGAGGACGUGCACCAUCCUGCCCACUAUGCAGUGAUAGUGGAACGCUGCUCUGCACGGGCUCUUCCACAGCUUGACAACUCUUGGCCCAUGCCACGGAGAAGCUAUCCUCCACGGCCUAAUGGUGAAGGCCUUCAACGAUGUAACCCCUCUCUUCUUCUGCCCCCUGCUGCUGGAGACACUUCUCCGAUCUGAAAUGGAAGCAGUGAUCCUGAAGAGUACAGAGCAUCUCAGCUGUGGACAGAAGGGCCUGAUCCUGUGUCACAUAUGGGCAGCUGAGGCAAGAGAGAAACGUCUUUCUCUUACAUAUGUCACCAUUAUUUAGGGGUCUUGGUUGCAGCAGGCCCCUUUCUACAAGCAAUGAACAUGUGAAUGGACAAAGACUACAGAGGCCCAGCCUUAACACCCCUCUACUUGACAUGGCACGGAAGGGACAUUGGGGUCAGAUGGGGGCCAGGGCUGGCUGUGGCCUCGGCCACACCUGAGGAGCCAGAAGUUGGGGUGCUGGGGAAGGGUGGGGCUGAGGGUGCCUGACUACAGUGCUCUGCCCGGGGAGUCUGCCCCAGGAUCAUCUGGAUGGAUGUUCUUCCCCCGGACUUCUGCCACCAGGUCUGCAUUGCCAGAAUUCACCUGCCACCAGCUGCUUUUUUGUCUCUGGUGCCACCGGGGACAACAUCGACUUUCUGAGCUACGGUGGUGCUAUAGACUGGAUGUUUGUGUCUCUGCCCCCUUGCAAAGUCCUGUGUUGAAACCUAAUCCCCAGUGUUAAUGAUAUUAGGAGGAGGGUCCGUGAGAGGUGAUGAGGUCAUGGGGACCCUUAUAAAAGUGAGCCCACAGAGCUCCCUGAGCCCUUCUGCCAUGUGAGGACCCAGUGAGGAGACAGUUGUCCAGGAGCCAGGAAGUGGGUCUCAUCUGCUGAUCUGGGACUUCCCAAACUCCAAAAUGGUGAGAAACACAUUUUUGUUGUUUAAAUCUACAGUACUGUUGUUACAUCAGCCUGAGGAGACUAAGACAGUGGGACUAAGACCAAGGCAAAAACCAGAGAAAAAACUAAGCCCCACCUCUGCCACCACCUCGGAGUCCCCAUCCCCCAGAGCGCUCGCUGCCACCCCAGGACUCUGCACUGUGCCUCCCAUCACCUCGGCGCACCCCUUUCUUUUUUUUUCCAUUAACCAUGCCUUGGUUUUAUUAACUUAUUUGGGCCAUGAGUUUUUUUUUUUUUUUUUUUA